AGUUGGGCACUUUAAGGUGACUGCCGGUGACAAACCGGAGGAAGGUGGGGAUGACGUCAAAUCAUCAUGCCCCUUAUGACCUGGGCUACACACGUGCUACAAUGGACGGUACAAAGAGCUGCAAGACCGCGAGGUGGAGCUAAUCUCAUAAAACCGUUCUCAGUUCGGAUUGUAGGCUGCAACUCGCCUACAUGAAGCUGGAAUCGCUAGUAAUCGCGGAUCAGCAUGCCGCGGUGAAUACGUUCCCGGGCCUUGUACACACCGCCCGUCACACCACGAGAGUUUGUAACACCCGAAGUCGGUGGGGUAACCUUUUUGGAGCCAGCCGCCUAAGGUGGGACAGAUGAUUGGGGUGAAGUCGUAACAAGGUAGCCGUAUCGAA
rnacentral:rRNA from 1 species